UAUCUCUCCGUACGGGGAAGGAUGAGAAGCUUCGACUAAGGUUCGAUUCGAGCGCAGCGAGAAAACGUUGCCGCAGGCAACGACCCGAAGGGUGAGGAGCGGAGCUACGAAUAAUCCUUCCCCCACCACCA
rnacentral:sRNA from 1 species